rnacentral:rRNA from 1 species
CCCAGCGCCCCCCCACUUCUUAUGGAUGAAAACCUUAAGAGCAUUUUUUGGAACGUCAGAGGCCUAAACUCUCUUGCUAAACGUUCUACACUCCGUAGCGUUAUUUCCUCGGCUGCCCCUUGCAUUGUCUGUCUCCAGGAAACCAAACUUGCUAGCAUGUCUGACUCCCUGGUGUUGGAAACCCUGGGCGCCCCCUUCCUCGACUUCUUUUUCCGUGCUGCCGAUGGCACUCGCGGAGGCAUCCUGCUUGCUUGGCGCUGCGACAUGAUCUCACUUUCCAGGCCAACCAUUGGUGACCAUCACGUCUCUGCCCUUGUCUCCCCCCUUGUCGGGGAUCAGCAUUGGUGGCUGACUGGUGUCUACAGCCCGCAGGGUGAUGAAGAGAAAAUCACCUUUCUUGGCGAGUUGCAAGAGUUUCGAGACACGUGUGCCGGCCCUUGGCUCGUUGGAGGCGACUUCAACAUGAUCACCUCCGCUGCCGACAAGAACAACAACAGGCUCAACCACCGCACCAUGAGUCGUUUUCGCCGCUUCAUCGCCGACCUUGAGCUUCGCGGCAUCUACCUCCACGGCCGCCGCUAUACUUGGUCCAACGAGCAGGAGAACCCCACCCUCGUCCACAAUGAUCGCAUGCUCUGCAGCUCAAGCUGGGAUGUUGCACAGCCUUAG